CCCUUAGAUGUUCUGGGCCGCACGCGCGCUACACUGAUGCAUUCAACGAGUCUAAAGCCUGCUCUGAUAGGGGUGGGUAAUCUUUUGAAUGUGCAUCGUGAUUGGGAUAGAUGAUUGCAAUUUUUCAUCUUCAACGAGGAAUGCCUAGUAAACGCAAGUCAUCAGCUUGCAUUGAUUACGUCCCUGCCCUUUGUACACACCGCCCGUCGCUCCUACCGAUUGAAUGAUCCGAUGAAUAUCAUGGAUUGAGGAUUAUAGCAGGUUCGCCUGUCUUGAUCUUCGAGAAGUGAAGUAAAUCUUAUCAUUUAGAGGAAGGAAAAGUCGUAACA
rnacentral:rRNA from 1 species